rnacentral:lncRNA from 1 species
GUAUUGCGAUCUUCUUUGAGAUUAACAUAUUUGACGUACUUCCUUCUCGCUGGGUGGUCUGCUGUACUUCCACGCUUUGUGAUGUGUGUUUUAGUAGUGACUAGUGAUAUUUUGUGUGCAUUUUUGAUAUAAAAUGUGGAAACUACUAAUACACACAAAAUUUCUAUCACAAUAGAUUCUGGAAUUACAGUUUUAUCUGUUGUAUGUUUUUAUAUUAAUGGGUAUCGAAUUAUUUUGACGAUUCCCGUUGAUUAAGUUACUAAUUAUACCUACAGGUGAGAAUACACUUUUUCUUGCCUUUGCCAAGCGAAUUUUUCUUCAGCAGUUCAGUCUACAGGGACAGUGUAUUUCCUUCCUAAAGCUUAAAAGGCCUUGUUGUCCAUAGGCAUUACAAUACCAUCAAGGGACUUAAAAAUGACCUAUGUCACAAUGUAAUAAUAUUAAUGGUAUGAAGAGCUUUUAUAAAUGUAUCAUUCCUUCCGCACUAAUACAAAACCUUGGAAUAAGUUUGGCUUCAAAGAAAAGUUAUGAAAGUGACUUCUUCCCCUGGAAAUAAGAAUAAUGAUCAC